rnacentral:sRNA from 1 species
CCUCGUUUUGUAACCCUCUUUUUCGGUUUUUCUCUAUUUUUUUGUUAAAAAUGUAUGACUCUAUAAAUUUUAGACCGUGAGGCCAAACUUAGCAUGUGAUACCUUCUCGGGAAUCCCAUAGAGAGUUCUCCAAUGAAUGAGCAAAGACAAUGGAAUUCUUUUAUUGGUUUUUUUCUACUCUAAAUUUUGACCUUAAUGUACUUUUUCAGGCCUUUUCGUGAUCUUUGCUAUAUUACGGGGCGAAAAUUAUAUGUUCGGACAUUGUUUUCGAAUAUUUUGCAUGUAUCAAAACUCUUAUAAACAAGAUAGGGUAUUCGAACAUAGCUGGUGGGACCCACGGCAAAUGGAUCAUAAAGUCUUCAAAAAAGAAUAGAUACGAUUGCAUUGGAUGUAGCAACAGAUGCAUUCAUACCAGCAUUAAUGCACCGGAUCCCAUCAGAAAUCUGCAGUUAAGCGUGCUUGGGCGAGAGUAGUACUACGAUAGGUGACCUCUCGAA